rnacentral:rRNA from 1 species
UACGGAGGGUCCGAGCGUUAUCCGGAAUUAUUGGGUUUAAAGGGUCCGUAGGCGGGCUAUUAAGUCAGGGGUGAAAGUUUGCAGCUCAACUGUAGAAUUGCCUUUGAUACUGAUGGUCUUGAAUUAUUGUGAAGUGGUUAGAAUAUGUAGUGUAGCGGUGAAAUGCAUAGAUAUUACAUAGAAUACCGAUUGCGAAGGCAGAUCACUAACAAUAUAUUGACGCUGAUGGACGAAAGCGUGGGUAGCGAACAGG